GCGCACGGACAGACAAGGUGGAGAUGAGUGGCCGAGACGCUAACAGACAGACAAGGCGGAGAUGAGUCGCCGAGACGAGCACGGACAAGGUGGAGAUGAGUGGCCGAGACGCUAACAGACAGACAAGGCGGAGAUGAGUGGCCGAGAUGCUAACAGACAGACAAGGUGGAGAUGAGUGGCCAAGAUGCGCACGGACAGAGAAGGCGGAGAUGAAUGGCCGAGACACGCACAGACAGACAAAGCAGAGAUGAGUGGCCGAGAUGCUAACAGACAGACAAGGCGGAGAUGAGGGGCCGAGAUGCUAACAGACAGACAAGGCGGAGAUGAGUGGCCGAGAUGCUAACAGACAGACAAGGCGGAGAUGAGUGGCCGAGACACGCACAGACAGACAAGGUGGAGAUGAGUGGCCGAGACGCUAACAGACAGACAAGGUGGAGAUGAGUGGCCGAGACGCGCACGGACAGGACAGACAAGGCUGAGAUGAGUGGCCGAGACGCGCAUGGACAAGGUGGAGAUGAGUGGCCGAGACGCGCACGGACAGACAAGG
rnacentral:lncRNA from 1 species